AGAAUCAACGCUGGCGGCGUGCCUAACACAUGCAAGUCGAACGAGAAAGGGGUAGCAAUACCCUGAGUAAAGUGGCGCACGGGUGAGUAACACGUGACUAACCUACCCUUGAGUGGGGGAUAACUGAGGGAAACCUUAGCUAAUACCGCAUAAUACCCACGGGUCAAAGGAGCAAUUCGCUCGAGGAGGGGGUCGCGGCCGAUUAGUUAGUUGGCGGGGUAAUGGCCCACCAAGACGAUGAUCGGUAUCCGGCCUGAGAGGGCGCACGGACACACUGGAACUGAAACACGGUCCAGACUCCUACGGGAGGCAGCAGUGGGAAUUUGCGCAAUGGGGGAAACCCUGACGCAGCAACGCCGCGUGGAGGAUGAAGUCCUUCGGGACGUAAACUCCUUUCGAUCGGGACGAUUAUGACGGUACCGGAAGAAGAACGCCCCGGCUAACUUCGCGCCAGCAGCCGC
rnacentral:rRNA from 1 species